rnacentral:piRNA from 1 species
UUCUAAUGCUGUACUUAUCAGCCAAGAC